UUUCUCGUUUCUUGGCUUUCUUGCUUCUUUCGUUAGUUUCGUUCAUUUGCGAUUGAACCUCUCGGCGGAUAGGACGUACUCUGAAAAGUGCUGGAUUUAUAGAGCUUCCCUCGCUAUUGCUUCGAGCAUGGAAGAGCACCCGCUAUAAGUAACUCGAUCUUAUCACAAUCACAAUUUUAAUGGAGAUUGAGGAAGAGAGUAUGACAAGUAGCAAAAUUUAUUGUAACAACAGGAUUUUUACAAUCAAGAGUUCAUAUGUUCAUCUGAAAAAUGGAUGAGGAUGAUUUCUAACCAUGAAAUGAAGUACAAUAUGACUUAUAAUGCAAGAAAUGUGUAUACUAAGAUAUAUACAUAUAAGAAUGAUGAAUGAGAACAGAUGAUAGGAAUAUUAAUAUGCAUUGCACAAUCGCAAUGAGUGCAUUACAGUUUCUUAUGACGAGUUUUCUUAUCAAUAACAACAUAUAUAUAUAUAUAUAUAUAUAUAUAUAUAUAUAUAUAUAUAUAUAUGAUUCAUUUGAGAUCCAAAUACUACUUGAAGAUGCAUCAUUAAACUACUCGUCAUCAAGUCACUCUAACUUUCAAGUGGAACAUUUCUAAUGUAAAGAUGGAUAUAGAAGACAAAAUAUAGAAGAAAUUACAUAUGUGCAGAAUAAUACACCUUAUGGACAAGUAAUAAAUGGAAAUAUUUCAUAGAAAUAA